rnacentral:ncRNA from 1 species
GUUUUGGUCCUAAACUUGCCAUUGUUUUUUAUCAAACUUACACAUGCAAGAAUCCCCAACCCAGUGAGAUUGCCCACAAAACCCUAAACAGCCAAAAGGAGCGGGCAUCAGGAUCAGAAGUGUUCUAGCCAAAAACGCCUUGCUACGCCACACCCACACGGGUACUCAGCAGUGAAUAAUAUUAAGACAUAAGCGAAAGCUUGACUUAGUUAUGAUAAACACGGUCGGUAAAUUUCGUGCCAGCCACCGCGGUUAUACGAAAGACUAAAAACAAUGGCCCACGGCGUAAAGCGUGAUCUAGGGCCUGUCACCUAAAUUUAAAGAACUAUCACAACAAAGUCGUAAAACACCUUGCUCAUGAGAUCACCAACAAUAAACUGUCUUUAAAAUAAAGGACUCCCUGCCCUCACGAAAGCUAAGAAACAAACUAGGAUUAGAUACCCUACUAUGCUUAGCCCUUAACAUAGACAGUUAUCACACAAUACUGUCCGCCAGAGAACUACAAGUGAAAAGCUAGAAACUCAAAGGACUUGGCGGUGCUCCAUACCGACCUAGAGGAGCCUGUCCUAUAAUCGAUAAUCCACGUUUUACCUUACCACCUCUCGCACAUCAGCCUAUAUACCGCCGUCGUCAGCCUACCUUAUGAAAGAGCCAAAGUAGGCAAAACAGUUAACAACUAAAACGUCAGGUCAAGGUGUAGCACAUGGGGUGGAAGAGAUGGGCUACACUUUCUUCUACAGAACAUACGAACAGCACCAUGAAAACAGUGCUCAAAGGCGGAUUUAGUAGUAAGACAAAAAAGGAAAGUUUGCCUGAAGCCCGCUCUGGAGCGCGCACACACCGCCCGUCACCCUC